GGGGAAUGGUAUAAUGGCAAUGGAAAUGCACCACUCAGAUCUCCUGCUGUGGGAAGCAAUUGACUGACAGUACCAGGUGCUGCUCAUCUGAACCCAUCACCAAAUUCAUGUAGAGGCCAGGCUUCCGAUGGCUUCAUCCAGCCCAGGACUGAGCACAGUAAGGCUAUAAAGACAGGCUCAUUCUUCAGGAUACAGGGCUCCUCUAACAGGAUGACAAGAUUUCUUUUGAGAUGAAGGACAUUUAAAGGUGUCAUCAAUACUCAACAGUGGGAAAUAUUUUAAGAACAACCACCAACACCACUACCCUGGAGACACUUUUCUAUCAUCCUACAUGGGCCACCACAAAAAUAAAUCAAACAAGUAAAAGAAAGAAAAAUAAAGACACAGACCAAUUAAGAAGACUGGUUUAUUUUUUAGGAGAAUUCACACGGAAGCUUGAUUUUUCCAUGAACAAAUCAAUCAACCAAAUGUGUUGGAGACAUUGUCAUGUUCACCACACAGACCGUAAAUGACAACCCCAAGGAUAUUGGAAGAGCCACGUGAAAUCUUUGAGGAGCUUUGAUUUGCAAUACGCCAGCUUGCAUCUUGUCCUUGACAAUACAGUAAAAAAUAAGCAAUUGAUGUUAUAGAUUACAUUUCAUGGUAUGUCAUCUCAUUUUUAUCUAGCCUCAUGCAUUUAACUUUUUGUUAAGUUACUCAUCAAUUGGAAGUACACUACCUAGCAUCCAGAAUAGUGUUUUGCACUCAAUAAAUAUUUGCUAACCGCUCCACGUCACAAGAUGCCAUGGCAUUACCAGGUUCUCUUUACAGUAAAAUUAAAUUCUUUACCAACUAUUUUCAGAAGAAAUUAUUUGUAAGAUUUUUCUCUUUUAGUGUUUGUAGUGGAUGUCUUGAUGCACAGCCUUAAUGAAGCACUCAUUCCUCCAGGUGCUGGGAGUGCUGGCUGCUGAUGUGCAUACAGCUGAGGACUUCCUAGGACUUACCCUCAGCCAAAAGAAGCUGAGACAGAAGCUGGCAUCCAAUGGUGGUUGAUUUAGAAAUACAAAGUUACCUUAAUCUGGAACAUUUUUGAGGGGUCAUCGUAACAGCUGUGUUCUCUGUGGGAGGGACUGAGAUCUUUGUUUCAACUGCACGCUAGUUCAACUUCUCCCUCUGCUCACUCCUGCUUUCUUCACUCCCUCUCAGAUGCUGUUUCCCUGAGCAUGCCCCAGACAGCUUCCUGUAUGCAAAUGUCCAUCCCAGAGUCUGUUCUCCUGGGAACCUGAUCUACAGCAGUUGGUGCCAGGAAUGCACUAUGAAAGAAGAAUCUAAAAUGGGAAAUUUGGAACCUAAUAACCACUGGCCUAAUGACAAAAUGCACCUUCACUGGUAAUCAGCGGAGUAUAGAUAGCACCUGGUGUGCCACAGCCGAGCGGUAGCUGAAACUCUCCAGUGGUGAACUGGGAUGAGCUACUGAAAUGGUUCUCAAUGGUGUGUUAUUACCUCUUGCUCAAUCCCUAGGAUAUUUGACAAAGUUGGGAGAUAAUUUUGCUAGUUAUGACCGGGGGUAGGGUAGGAGGAGGGAGUGGUGCUUUUGUCAUCUAGUGGAUGAUGUUAAAUAUUCUACAAUGCAGCCCCUCUCCCCCAACAAAGAAUUAUCCUGUCCAAAAUGUCAAUAAUGUCAAGGAUGAAAAACCAUGCAUUUGCUGGCAAAAUAUUUCAGGUGUUUGAGAGGUCGGGGGAUAUUAGUAAGUAUAAGAACAAUAGACCGAGAUGUUACUUACUGCGAAAGUUUGAGGAUGACUAAUCAUCAAUUUAAGGCAAAGUGUGAGAGUCAAGAACCCCUUGGCAGCAUAUAAAGAAAGUCACAUCUCCUGCAGUAAACCUUGGCAUCAGGCCCAGGGCUUAAUUAUAAGGUAGUUGAACUCCAGAGUAGUUUGAAUUCUCAACCUAAACAAGUCUGCUCUGUCAAUUUUAGAGCCAAGAUCAGGAGAAGUGGAACCUCAGGCUUGGGAUGUGACAUUUGGGUUGACUCACUUGAAAGCCUUGAAGCCCAGAUUCCCCCACCUCUCUUGGCCUGCAUAUGACCUCUCUUAUGGCACUCUGCCUGCUUUCCCCACUCACUCGAAGAUGAUACAGAACACUGCCUUAUAAGACAACAUGUGCUCCCCUUAGGAUUUACUCCUCCCUCCCUUCCUGACAACCAGAUCAAUGACUAAAAUUGAGUAAUGACAAAACCCAGCCAAUAAAGUACUGAGUUUGCUAGAGGAGAAAAGGGACUACAUGUGGAAGAAGUUGCAGUACCUAGACAACUUGAACAGAAUUGUAUAUGUGGGACUUGAUCCUGAUGAUGCUGGAUCAAGGGGGACAGACUAUAAAUUUGGAUAAGUGAGAGAUAUUAAUAUCAAUGUACUCUUCUGUAACACAGGAUAUAAUAUUUGAAAAGGCCCUUAGGAGAUGGUGCUAAUCCACUGCUAGGCUGGCUCUAGGAAGCUUGGAAAAUGGAGACUGUCAUUAAGUGAAGCAGAAAUGCCAGAAUUGCCAUAGUAGGUGGUGGAUGAAGGGAUCAAAAGGCCCAGAGAAGUGGGAGGGCCACAGUGGAUAUGUUCCACUCUACGAGGCUACUGUUAUUGUAGGAUUCUACUGCCCCCAGUGCUAUCAGGGAGCCCAGGUCUGUAACAACUUCUCCUAUCAUCAGUCCUGGCCUAGAUAGGACUACCACCACUGAUAGAUUCUCUGCAAUGCUGGUGCCCCUCCUACCUUAUUGCUUAACAAACAGUGUCUUCCGGGCUGGUGGAUUUUCUGAAUUUAAGUGUCAGCUCGAAGCCCAUGUUCAUUCUUCUACAUCGAACUGCUUCUUAAAUAACAACACCAACAACAAAAUAAUAAGAAACCAGAUAAAACAAACAAACAAAAAACCUCAGCAAGUUCCUCAUCCUAUGCCAUCAUCCUAUAACCCUGAGGCAGUCAUGCCACUUAGAAGACCGGAAAACCCAUCGCGAGUUGACCCAGGCUGCCUUUUCAUUGUCGUAUCAUCGGAGAAACCUGCUCCUGUACUUUCUCUCUUGAGGGUGAAAAAAAAAUCUCCCCUUGUCUUCACAUUCUUUCACAGCUACUUCUAUUUGUCUAUGCCCAUAUUCCUGGGUGCUCUCCUGGCCUACUCUGCCUAACUUUUAAGAUUAGAGGAGAGAAAGCAUUUCAAGACAUUAAUCUCCUAUACAUUUCAAGAUGUUAAUCUCUAGAAAUUUCAUAUUAGGAAAUAUCUUUAAUCCCAGUCUACUGAUAGAAUCUACUGUAAGUUGAACUUUGGUAAACUUUAUAAAAAGGUUUCAGCACUAUAGCUGGCUUUUCAUUGAGAAAUACUUACUCAUACUUUAACUUUCACUGUCUUUGUAAGGUUUUGAAUUCCAGUUUUGUACUUUCAUUAUAGAUCUCCCUAUCUCUAUGGUUUUCUAAAGGAGUUUCUUACAGUUUUUAGAAAAUGUUUUUAUUUCAUAUGGCUUUAUUGAAAUUUGGGAUGGCAUCUCCUGGCAAGGCCACCUAGCACCCACUUCCAUUUUUCUCUGAAGCCAGCCAAAAAUGAAUAGAAUUCACACAUUUCACUCAAGUAAACAUAUUUCGGCCAGAAAAUAUUUUGCAUGUUGGCUUACCAUUAGAUUUAGGUGUAAGAUGUGUUUUAUCUGAUUUCAUAUUCCUUUCAGUAGAGCUUCACAGCUUUCUGAAACAAAAUGCUCUGAAUCUUGAUGUUGAGCUCUGGUCGAGAGAUUCUAUGCAGCAAAGCAGAAGGAAACCACAUGCUUGCUACAUCUCGUUGAAUGGAAUAUAUUUCAUUACUUUGUACAUUAUGUUCUCCAGAUGAGAGGGAAAAGCUAUAAGAACAUUCAAAUAUUCAAUAAAACUGGGGAGAGCGAGUAACUCAUCAAUGUGUCCCCAACAAUACUGCCCCACCAAAUAAAGUCCAAAAAGUAGAUGAAAACAAGAAAAUAUUAUGAAAUACUACAUUCUGUGGAAAUGAGCUGAAAAGGAAAAAUGACUAUUUGAAUAUAUAACACAAUGAAACAAUAAGAUUGUGAACCAAGCUAUAUUGAGAGGAUAUUUGAAAGCC
ensembl:lncRNA